AGCUGCACAACGAGAUGAGGCUGGUCAUUGUCAUUUUCUGAGCUGUGAACGAGCAGGAAGCUGCACAACGAGAUGAGGCUGGUCAUUGUCAUUUUCUGAUCUGUGAACGGGCAGGAAGCUGCACAACGAGAUGAGGCUGGUCAUUGUCAUUUUCUGAUCUGUGAACGGGCAGGAAGCUGCACAACGAGAUGAGGCUGGUCUUUGUCAUUUUCUGAGCUGUGAACGGGCAGAAAGGUGAGAAA